UUACCAUGUACCCUACCCUCAUGUGAUAUCCUUAACAAAAGGACAAAAAUUAUAAAAUUCCUAACAAAUUAAUACCCGACCCAAUCAAAUUUAAUCACCUCACCUUAUCCUAACCACUCACACUCCUACUCACCUCACUAUCCUACCCAAUCCCCUAUCCCACUCACGUUUUUCCCAAUUUUUCCUUUAACAAAAUACAGGCAGCAACCAUACAUACUCACACAGACCUCACUGUAUAGAGGGGGAAUUUUCACACUAUGCACAAACUCCGUUUUCCAAUCUUCCAUAGACAAUAUACAUACACACUCACACAGCAAAAUAAAAAGAGACUCUCACCAGAAAACACACACACAAUAUAGAAGGAGGCGAGAUCGGAGACGGGAAGGGUGGACAGUAAAAUGAAGAGAGGGUAUUUGAUUCGGGUCGACGAAAAAUGGAAUAAGAGGGUAUAUCGAGUUGGUGGUUUGAGAUUCGAUUUGAGGUUUUUGGAUCUGGUUUCAUCUUUCAGUAGCACACCUUGCAGAAUAAAAGCUUGAUCGGAGGUCCAAUUCUAUCUCUUCUCAUUUUUAAUUUAAUUAUAUGUGAUUGAUUUGUGUGAAGCAUGAUAUGAUCUGAAUAUUUGGUGAUUUUGAUUUGUCAUAUGAUUUCAUUGAUAGUGAUUGUGGAUUGUUGAAAAAUAGAAAUUGUGAAUUGUUACGUGGGAACCUUGGGUUAAAUUUUGGAGUGGAAAUUAAAAAUUGAUAAAAAGCAAGCGUUAGUUGUUUUGAUUCAUUGAUGUCGUUGAAUGUGAUAAUACCAUGAUAGAUCGAAUUGGGUAGUCAAACGGUAUGCUCGGGUAGACUAAUUUAGAACUUGAAGAUUGUGAAAUGUUUGAAAUAUUUGUUGAAUGGUUUAAUUUACCGCAUUUGGAUCAAUUGUACUCAUUUGGCCGGGGAAUGCCUCGAGGCACAUUGUACUUAUUCAUCGGAGAAUGCCCCGAAGUAUCAUGUACGUAAAAGAGGCUAGUGAUCGAGUAAAGCAUAGCUAGGAUAGUUAGAAUAGUUUAGGUUUUAAUUUCAACAUUUUUAUUUUGGUUUGUAAUAAAUUGGACUGGACACUAUCUUGGAGUUUUGACUGUUUGAUUGUUUGUUAUUUGUAUUGUGUGUUUUCUUUGGUUUAUGCAUUUUAUAGUGUCGUACUAGCCGAUAUACUCCACAAAGCGACCGUGGUCAUACCACGGGAUUGAGGGGUGCCUAACACCUUCCCCUCGGUCAACAGAAUUCCUUAAUUGGAAUCUCUGUUCGCAAAUCAGUUUUUAAGAGUCCAAAAUUAUUUUGAAAAAAAGAUUUCCAAAGGUGACUUAACAACUCUGAGUUUUGAUUGUUAAAAAUUCUUUUUGAAACAACUUAUUUUCUUUUGUCACUUAAUAAUAAAACCCUUUUCGAACUUAAAAUCUAAACAUUUUUGGGAAAAAAAAAAAAAGGGGUAUGACAGCUCUGACGACUCUGUUGGGGAUUUUCAGAAUUCGAACUUAUUUUUUGAGUUGUAUCGGCUUAGUGUGACACUAUAUGUGUAUAGCCACUUUGUGUUUGUUAUCGUAUGUUAUUAUUUUAUCAUUGUUGAGUGCUUACGUGUUACGUAUUUACAGUUUUUCUCUUAUGUGUUACCACUUUAUAUCUGACAUCAUAUACAUUACCCCGAGUUAAUUUUUCGCAACAAGUCCCGGAGUACACGUCAUGUACCCAAACUCUAGUUGAGUCACUCUUAUUUUAGGAGGAGGAGCCGUCAGACGUAUGGAGUAGGGGAAAGCUCUCGCAGCCACUAUCGACCAUACGCUCCCCAAACAACCUUGUUAGUGGACCCCAGCCUAGGUCAGCCUUUAUGUCAUUCUUGUCUGCAUCAUAUUGAGACCUAGCGGGACCCACUUGGUCCUUUGUAGGAGACUCAUCCCUAAAGCAUCCUUACGUGCUAAUUGUUGCAUAUUUAAGGAUAACAGGGUCAUUUAAUGGACUGAUUUGAGAAAAUCAUGUGCUAGAAUUAAAAGAAAGUGUGCAGACAAGAAAAAGUUCAAAAAAAAAAAAGGAAAGAAGAAAAAGAGAGAAAAGUGAGUCAAUUUUUUUUUUUGUAGUUUUUAGGAGUUUUUAUGGUUUUGUUUUCUACAAUCCAAUAAUUCAAAAAAGAUUCUUUUAUGGUUUUGUUUUCUAAAAUUUAAAAAUUCAAAAAAGAUUCUUCACCUUUUGUACUCAUUUUCUCAAAAAAAUAAAAACAACAUCAAAAUGAUUUUCCUUUUGUUCUCUUUAACAAAAAUUCAUAAUUUGAAAUUAUCAAUAGAUAUUUUUUCAAUAGGAGCUUUUUAUAAAAGAAAAAUUAAAAAAAAAUGGUAGAAGUUUUGCACAUUUCAUAUAACAAAAAUAUCAAAAAGAUCUUCCUUUCAUACUUGUUGGUGUCAUUUUUUAUGUUAAGUGUUAAAUUGAAAACUCAAAAAAGAUUUUAUUGACGUUUUUCAUCUUCUGUUUGUGAUCGUGUCUCUCAAGUCAAGGUUCAGUCAGUUGUUUAAUAUUUAAUUGUCCAAUCUGGACAAAAUAUGCUCACCUGAUCCUCUUUUCUCAAGAGUGAGAUACGUAGGCAACCUUUCGUGGAUUCAGUGAUCUAAUUUAAAAAAUUCAAAAAGAUUUUCUUCACUCACCAUUUAGAGUAGGUGUUUCAUAGAUAUCUUUAAAAAAACUACAAAAAAUAUUUUCCUCUGAUAGUUUCAAGUUUCUUUUCAUAUGAAAUGCAAAUCGAAAAUUCAAAAAGAUAUUUCUUUGGUAAUCAUAGGUUUCAUUUUGUAUAGGAAUUUUAAAGCUGAAAAAAUUCAAAAAAAAUUUCGAUAAUCCUUUUGACAAUUUUUUUUUCUUUUCUUCUUAAAGUUUCAAGAAAAAGAAAAAGAAAAAGAAAAAGAAAAAGAAAAAGAAAAGAAAGAGAAAGAGAGUUUGAUUGGACUUUUUUUGGUCAAACUACACAAAUUGUGCACACCCGAUUCUCCUCUCCCGGGAGUGAGAUACGUAGACGCCCUUUUUGGGUUUGGUGAUCUUUUCAAAAGAAAAAAAAAGAGCAAAAAAAUAAAGAGUUUUUGAAAAAGUCUUGCAUUCUAACGCCUUUGUUAUUUCUUAUUCAGUUAGUUUAAGGUGGUUGGUUUGUGAAAUUUUAGUUGGUCCUCUAUAUUACAAAAAAUCCAGGGAAGAGAGUCAUGUCCAGCAAGAAUAUAGAGAGUGACAUCAUGGAUCAGACAAAAAGUCAGGAAAAUAAAAGUUUAAUGUAAGAGAUUGUGAGUUUGAGGCAACAAAUGAUGGAAAUGUAUCGAGCUUGGGCCAGUGGGCUGCCUCCUUCUCUAUUUUCCACUAUUGACCCUACAAAUACCUUGAGUUUUUCACCAAAAUUGCAAGGCCAAUUUUCUGCUGUUGGUUAUGCGCCAUAACAUGCCUCAGAAUUUAGUCCAAGCCAAAAGCAUCCUAAUGCUUCCGUCACUCAUUCUCUAGCUCUUCAGUGUAAAUCUACCAUAUUGAUAUCACAACCUAUCGUCUCUGCUUCUGUUGCUCAACCCUCUACUGAAGCUUCCACUUUGGAUUUUCGUCUGGCGAUUAUGCUUCCCCAAUCUGCUAGUGAGUCAAUGUUUAAUACUCUUGAUGAUCACUAUUAUACUCUUGAGCCCACAUCUAUGUUAAUUGGACCACUAAAUUUUUUUACCAAGAAGUCUGACAUGAAAGAAGAGCAAGAAAAACUGGCUAGGAAAAUGAAGAGCACAGAAAAGGCUACGAAAAAUUCUCUGGGACUUACGAAUUAUGAAGAUUUUGCAUAUAAGGACUGGGGCAUGUCUUCAAAUGUUAAAUUCCCUCCUAACUUUGAGGUAUCAAAAUUUGAGGAAUAUGAUGGGUACGAGGAUUUUGUAAAACACUUGGAACGAUAUUCCCAUCAGUUGAGGGGGAUUGAAGGAAAGAAGAAGGAAAAUGUAUCUAUUGUCAUUCCAGGGCAAAGCAAAGCUCGAGAGGUCCAAAUCAGCAAUAUUGUCAGUCUUAAUCCCGAUCUUACACUUCAAAUCCAUAUGCUCACCUGCAACAAGGUUCCUCUUUGCAAAAUUCAGAUAUUCCAUUCUACUUCCUCAGUAUUCUUUGAACAAUGCACAACAGUAUACUCAUCUGUCUUCUUAUCCACAAUGACGUGCACCGGUCCCUCAACAUCAUCCUCGGCCCCCACAUAUUUACCAAGGAACUUCUAAGUCCAAGGUUCAACCGAUAUCAGAGUUUGCAAAGAGGAGGAAGUCAAAGGAUAAGUUUACACCAAUUGGAAAAUCGUAUGCUAGUUUAUUCCAGAGAUUGAGAGAGUUGGACAUGAUUACUCCUCUCUUUAAGUGUACUCUUGACCUCAUUCAAGAAAUUUUGAUCCUCAUGUACGAUGUGUAUAUCAUUCUGAUGUUUAGGGUCACAGUAUUGAAGGUUGUAGUGCUUUGAAAAGAGAAAUAAAAAGGAUGAUUAAAGAAAAAUUGAUCGUAGUGCAAAACAUUGACACUACAAAGGUCACAUAGAAUCUUUCAUCAACGCAUGGUAAUGAAAAAUAUGUGGAAAGUAAUGAGUUAAGCAUGGAGAUCCAAAAUUUAUUUGUUGAAGAGAAUGUGUCUGACAGUGGUGGAAGCUCUAGUCAUGCUGAUAUGCAAACCAGUGGCUAAGAUGUCAGCAAUUGAGAAGUCACUCCUCUCCCUACUAGGAAGAGGUCUGAUAUUUUGUUUGUUUUCUUUUCUAUUAUCUGAAUUAUUUCACGAUUGUAGUUCGGGAUCUAUCUUGUUUUGUCCCUUUGUCGUUUAUAUUCAAACCCUUCUAUCUUUCAUUUUAACUAAAUGGAGUGUCCCUUUUCCCUUUGUGUUUUAAAUAUGUGUUGUUGUUUUUUUACAUAGUGCAUUUUAGGUUAGUUUAAGUGAUAUUACAUGCUUGCAGAAUUUUUAGGUAGAUCUUAAAAUCCAGCUUAAGCAUGAACUUUGAAUCAGAGGGCUAAAGUUAGAAAAAGGCAUCUGAGAAAAUAGGAAGAGUGUUGAGACAUUGGGUGACCAAGUUGAAGCCUUCUUUGAAAAUUAAGGCAAUUAUUUUGAGAAUUACAAGAAUAACUUGAUCAUCAAUUGAAAGACAUGUCUCAAUUAGGUUAAACAAUGAAUGCGUGAUCCUAUAUCAAAAGGAAUAGAAAGAAAAUCAACUCCACAAAAGCAUGAGUCAUUCGAUGUAAAAGAUGUACAAUAAAGGUGGAGUUGUAUAACUGGACAAGCGUAGAAGAAGUAGUGACACACAGACUCAGUUAAAGUUAGUGCUGUAAAAAAAUGUCACAAAUGAUCUUCAUCUUUCACUGUCAUAUUGCAUGAUAUGUACUUGCAUUUUCAAGGAUUGAUAUGGCGAAGACAUUUCAUUUUGCUAUCCAAACAUUGUGUCAUCCUUUGUUUACCCCGUUUGAACUUUAAUUCUAUUUUCUUUCAUACCCCUCUUUUGGAAUCAAUAUAGAGUCAACAAAGUUCAAGAAAAAGUGGUGAGUAAAAGAAUGGAGUCAGAAAAAAAAGAGAAGACAAAUGUGUCAAAAAUAAAGAAAAGUGAUGAGUAUCAAGAAAAAUAGGGUCAGACAAAGUUUUAAAGAGAAAAAAAGCCAAUAAAAGAGAAUAAAUAAAUAAAUUAGAGUCAAGCAAAAGAAUAAAUUAUCGGAACUACGUGUGACCUGAUUAUCCUCUCUCGAAGGUGAGAUACGUAGGCAGCCCUACUUUGGGCUCAGCCCAACUAAACGAACAAUUUAGAAUUACCCAGUUAAAGAAAGUGGGGCAUGGAUUAAUUUUCAUUGUUUGAGUCAAUUCCAAAAGUUGUAAGUCUCUCCCCACUUCAAGUGUCGUUUGGGCCUCAUGCCAUUUUUUUUCUAACCUUAUCCAAAAGUCAAGUUACAACCAAAGAAAGACCUUCAGAUCAAUCGUUGAGAAUGAUAAGGCUAAGCAUGCAAUGCAUAUAAUGAUGCAUUUUGGAAACUACUUGUUUUCCUCAGCAUAAGUAAUCAGAAGAGAAAUAAAAAUGAGAGUCUUAUCGGUGAAAACCCUUACGGGAACCGUAAGACGAUUCUGAGUUGAGAGAAUGAAAAUAUGAGAGUCUCAUUGGUGAAAACCCUCACAGACACUAUAGGACAAUGGAGAGUUGAGAGAAAGAAAAUAAAAUAAACUUAUUGACGAAAACUCUUUAAGGAGUCACUAACUGAAUGAGGUCUCCAAGUGCGAUUGACCCAAGAAAGUAACUCAAUUUCAGGACCAUUAACUCAACAACAAUUGACAAAAUUUUGGAUGGAAAGAUCAGACAACUUAAUCCAAAAUGUAUGUCAUAAUCAUUAGAGUUGACUAUCACUUUCAGAUAAAUUUUCCUUUUCUUUGUUUCAAUGGACAUUCAUUGUCUGUUCUUUCUUCUUUAUAUUUUUAUUUUUGUUUUUUCGAGUUAGUUAUUCAAAUAGAAAGUCAUUUUUCUUGUGUCUUUGAGUCAAACAAAUGUCAAAGCAAGUGAUAAAAGAUUUCAAAACUGGCUACCAACUUCUUUAAUUGCACAAAGUAAGACAAAGGGCCAGCACAUGAAAGAGACAUGAUUGUGAGCCAAAAUAAGGCAUGCAGAAAGUUUUGUCAACAGAUAAGUCUUGAAACUCAUGGAAAUACAAAGUUUUAAAGGAUUUAUCUGAGGAACAUAGCAAAAAAGAGAUAUUGUGUUUGUUUCAGAGUCACUCUUAAUAAUCUGAGUUUUGAUCAAUGGUGCAGCAACUCAAUACAUAUGCUAAUGAUUGGAAGCAAGAUUAGAAGUGACAAAUGCAAGAGAAUUCACCUCAAAAGCUAAACCACAAGCUAACCACCAUGUUUUUAAACUCACAAGUUUUCUUUGUAUGAAACAGGAACACAUGUUACCUUCAAAUAAGGAUUUCAAAGCUUAAACAUCAAAGGCCAUAAUUUCUUACUUCUACAAAUGCAAGAGGCAACGUUGCUUUACCGAUUUGGUAAUCAAAACCAUGGUAAAAGCUCAUAAUCCAAUAUCCCUAGGAGACACACUUCCUUGACCGGGUAAUUCAGGUUCAUAUAUUAGGUGAUGCACUUCCUAAAUUGAACCUUCACUCUUAGAAGCCGUACUUUCUAGUUGAGUCCUUCCAUUUAAUCUUUAGGAGAUGUAUUUCUUUGUUUGGGUAACUUAAGUAAAAUUUGUAAGGAGACGUAUUUCUUUGUUUGGGUAAUUCAAGCGAUAUUUAUAAGGAGACCCAUUUCCUUGUUUGGGUAGUUCAAGCGACAUUUGUAAGGAGACAUAUUUUCUUGUCUGGGUAAUUCAAGUGGCAGUUGUAAGGAGACACACUUCCUUAAUUAGGUAAUUAAAGUUUCACUUGUUUGGUGAUGCACUUCCUAAUUUAAAUCUUAACUCCUAGAAAAUGCAAUUUCUAGUUGAGUCAUUCCACUUGACCCCUAGGAGACACACUUCCUUGACUGGGUAAUUCAAGUUCAUUUAUUAGGUGAUGCACUUCCUAAAUUUAACCUUCACUCCUAGAAGCCGUACUUUCUAGUUGAGUCCUCCAUUUAAUCUUUAGGAGAGAUAUUUCCUUGUCGAGGUAAUUUAAGUAGCAUUUGUAAGGAGACGCAUUUUCUUGUUUGGAUAAUUCAAGCGAUAUUUGUAAGGAGACACGUUUCCUUAUAUGGGUAAUUCAAGUGGCAUUUGUAAGGAUACCCACUUUCUUAAUUAGGUAAUUCAAGUUUUACUUGUUAGGUGAUGCACUUCCUAACUUAAGUCUUGACUCCUGGAAAAUGCAUUUUCUAGUCGAGUUAUUCCACUUGACCCUUAGGAGACACACUUUUUUUGUUGGUAUUCAAGGAGACGUAUUUCCUUAUAUGGGUAAUUCAAGUGGCAUUUGUAAGGAGACCCACUUUCUUAAUUAGGUAAUUCAAGUUUUGCUUGUUAGGUGAUGCACUUUCUAACUUAAGUCUUGACUCCUGGAAAAUGCAUUUUCUAGUCGAGUUAUUCCACUUGACCCUUAGGAGACACACUUUUUUGUUAGGUAUUCAAGUUUCAUUUGUUAGAUGGUUCACUUCUUAACUUAAGCCUGGACUCCUAGAAAAUGCAUUUUCUAUUUGAGUCGUUCUACUUGAUCCUUAGGAGAUAAACUUCCUUGUUGGGUAUUCAAAUUUUCGCUCAUUAAGAGACAAACUUCCUAACUUAAGCUUUUACUCCUAGGAAAUGUACUUUAUAGUUGAGUAGUUAACUCUUAGGAGGCACACUUCCUUGUCAGGGUAAUUCAAGUUUCGCUUAAUAGGUCGUUCACUUCCUAACUUAAGCCUUUACUCCUAGAAAAUGCACAUUCUAGUCGAGUCAUUCCACUUGAACCUUAGGAGACACACUUUCUUAUUUAGGUAUUAAAAUUUCACUUGUUAGGUGGCACACUUCCUAACUCAAGCCUUGAUCCCUAGAAGAUGCACUUUCUAGUCGAGUCAUUUCACUUAACCCUUAGGAGACACAUUUCCUUGUAUGGGUAAUUCAAGUUUGGCUUGCUAGGUGACACACUUCCUAAUUUAAGCUUUUACUCCUAGAAGAUGCACUUUCUAGUCGAGUCAUUCCACUUAAUCCUUAGUAGAUGCACUUCCUUGUCAGGGUAUUCAAUUUUUUCAUUUGUCGGGUGACACACUUCCUAACUUAAACCUUUAUCUCUAGAAGAAGCACUUUCUAGUUAGAGUUCCUCACUCUAUUUUUUAGAAGACGCACUUCCUAGUCUUGGUCAUUUAAUUUUAUCCUCAAGAGAUGCAUUUAUUGAUCAGAGUCUUGAUUCACCUUUGCAUUACGCAUUUUGCAAAUAGUUGUGAUUGAGUUUGACGCCCAUACAAGUUUUUGAUGAAAAACUGGGCAAAAAUUUAAUUCCUGUUAUUUGGAACUUCACUUUUGCACCCUCCUAGAAAAUAGGACUUUACUUUACUGAAAAUGGAAUCUCUCUUUAUAAUAAUCUUUGUUUGGGAUAAUGUUUGUUCUAGUUUUGAUUUUGAUUUUAGGAACCCUCUUGGAGAACAGGGUGAUGACAUUGAAAUUCAAGAGCCCGCCCGAAGAAUGGGGUGUUGAAAUUGCAAGUUAGGAGCUCGCCUGAAGAAUAGGAUAAAGAAAUUAAAAGUCAAGCAACAAGGUGAAGAAAUUAAAAGUCAACAGAUUAAAAAAAUAGCAAUUCAGGGGCCCGCCUGGAGAACAGAAUGAAGAAAUUAAAAGUUAAGCAACAAAGCGAAGAAAUUGUACCACCGACAAAACAUGGUCAAUUUUUGAGUUCAUCUCCAACACCAGAUUUUGUAUGGAGAAAGAAUUAUUCUCAAAUUUAAUCCAAUGAAAAUCAAAUCAUUCAUCACUUUUGAAAGCAUUGAAGACUCAAGUCAAGAGUCAAGAGAAGCUGCAUAGAUAGGAUUUUUGUAAUGUCAGUUAUAUUUUUAACUUGUAAUUUCAUUUUUGAUAUAAUGACAGAGCCGCGGAUCAGAACCUCGAUAGGCCUCACUCGACUUUCCAACUCAGUAUGGUCUCUUUCCUUGUCAGCUCUAGAGUUACGUGUGACUUGACUCCUACAUAACUUGAGAUAGGUAGAAUGCCCAAAAUCGAAACUCGAUUGCCCUUCUUCCUUUUGUUUCUUUGUUUUAAGUAACGGUCGGGAUAAAAUUCUGUCUCAUUGUCUACUUCUUUGUUUGAAAACACUUUGAGUUUACAUCCACAGAGGGGCAUGAUAUAGACAUGUAAUUUUGUCCCCUCCAAAAGUUAACUUUACCCAUUCAUCCUUGCCUAACCAUGUACCCUAUCAAAUUUAACCACCUCACCUUAUCCUAACUACUCACACUCUUACCCACCUUACUACUCUACCCAACCCCCUACCCCACUCAUAUUUUUUCUAUUUUUCUCUUAAUAAAAUACAGGCAGCAACCAUACAUACUCACACACACCUCACUGUAUAGAGGGGGAAUUUUCACACUACGCACAAACUCUAUUUUUCAAUCUUCCACAGAUAAUAUACAUGCACAUUCACAAAAAAAAUAAAAAUGGACCCUCACCAAAAAACACACACACAAUAUAGAAGGGGCGAGAUCAGAGACGGAGAGGGUGGAUAGUAAAACGAAAAGAGGGAGAGAGAGAAACACACUGAGAGUCUGAGAGAGGGAGAUGAAAGACGAAGAUUGAAAAUAGAGAGGUUAAAUAAAGGAGAAAAACAACAACUUAGGCUAGAUUUUUUGGCGAAUAAUUCAUCGGAAUCCCGAUCUUCUCCGGUAUGACCCACCGAAAUUCAUUGUUGUUGUCAGCCACCUGCAACUAGUGGAAGCAAUUCCAUCAGAGAAAACCAAACCAGCAACUAAAAUCCAUCGCAGUAGUGCACCACUGCUUGAUGGUGCUCCGAGUUAAGCUCAGAUUGACGAUGGUCAUUAAUUCUCAUUGCAAACUCGAGUUAGGCUCGAGUUGGUCAUUCAGUAUUUGAUUCAGGUCGACAAAAAAUAGAAUAAGAGGGUAUAUCGAGUUGGUUGUUUGAGAUUCGAUUUAUGGUUUUUGGAUCCGGCUUCGUCUUUCAAUCGCAUACCUUGCACAAUAAAAGCUUGAUCAGAGGUCCAAUUCUAUCUCUUCUCAUUUUUAAUUUUAUUUUAUAUGAUUGAAUUGCGUGAAGUAUGAUAUGAUAUAAAUAUUUGAUGAUUUUGAUUUCAUUGAUAGUGGUUGUGGACUGUUAAAAAAUAAUACUUGUAAAUUGUUACGUGGAAACCUUGAGUUGAAUUUUGGAGCGAAAAUUAAAAAUUGAUAAAAAGCAAGUAUUAGUUGUUUUGAUUCAUUGAUGCUGUUGAAUGUGAUAAUAUCAUGAUAGGUCGAGCUAUGUAGGUAAGCAGUAGGCUCAGAUAGGCAAAUUUAGAACUUGUGGAUUGUGAAAUAUUUAAAAUAUUUGUUGAAUGAUUUUGUUUACCGCAUUUGGAUCAAUUGUGCUCAUUUGGUCGGGGAAUGCCCCGAGACACAUUAUACUUAUUCACCAGAAAAUACCCCGAAGUAUCAUGUAUGCAAAUGAGGCUUAUAAUCAAGGCCCAAGGCAUCGGGUAAAGCAUAGCUAGGAUAGUUAGAAUAGUUUAUUUUUUAAUUUCAACAUUUUUAUUUCAGUUUGUAAUAAAUUGGACUGGACACUAUUUUAGAGUUUUGACUAUUUGAAUUUUUGUUUUUGUGUGUUGUGUGUUUUGUUUGGUUUAUGUAUUUUAUAGUAUCAUACUAGCUGAUAUACUCCACGAAGCGACCCUGGUGGAACCAUGGGAUCGAGGGGUGCCUAACAACUUUCCCUCAGUCAACAAAAUUUCUUAAUUGGAAUCUCUGUUCGCAAACCAACUUUUAAGAGUCAAAAAAUCAUUUUGAAAAAAGGAUUUGCAAAG
rnacentral:lncRNA from 1 species